rnacentral:tRNA from 1 species
GCCGUCCUAGCUCAGUCGGUAGAGCGUCAGGCUCUUAACCUGAUGGUCGGGGGUUCGAGCCCCCCGGUCGGUG